rnacentral:rRNA from 1 species
GAGCACGUAGGUGGGUUUGUAAGUCAGAUGUGAAAGCCUUCUGUUCAACGGAAGAAUUGCAUCUGAAACUGCGAGUCUUGAGUGUAGGAGGGGAGAAUGGAACUUCUGGUGGAGCGGUGAAAUGCGUAGAUAUCAGAAGGAACUCCGGUGGCGAAAGCGAUUCUCUGGCCUAUUACUGACACUCAGUGUGCGAAAGCUAGGGGAGCAAACGGGAUUAGAUACCCCGGUAAUCCUAGCCGUAAACGAUGGGCACUAAGUAGAGGGGUUUU